UGGGGAAUAUUGCACAAUGGGGGGAACCCUGAUGCAGCCAUGCCGCGUGUGUGAAGAAGGCCUUCGGGUUGUAAAGCACUUUCAGACGUGAGGAAAGGUUAGUAGUUAAUACCUGCUAGCUGUGACGUUAGCGUCAGAAGAAGCACCGGCUAACUCCGUGCCAGCAGCCGCGGUAAUACGGAGGGUGCGAGCGUUAAUCGGAAUUACUGGGCGUAAAGCGCACGCAGGCGGAUUGUUAAGCUAGAGGUGAAAGCCCCGCGCUCAACGUGGGAAUUGCCUUUAGAACUGGCAGUCUAGAGUCUUGGAGAGGGGAGUGGAAUUCCAGGUGUAGCGGUGAAAUGCGUAGAGAUCUGGAGGAACAUCAGUGGCGAAGGCGACUCCCUGGCCAAAGACUGACGCUCAUGUGCGAAAGUGUGGGUAGCGAACAGG
rnacentral:rRNA from 1 species